rnacentral:lncRNA from 1 species
UCUUCCUCUCACUCCUCUCCUCUCUCUGCUCCAUUCUUGAAAUCUGAUCCAGAAUUCCAGAUUCCGUACGGGGGCGACGCACCCCAGGCUGAUCGUUCGCCGCCGCCGAUCCCCCGCGACCUUGGGGGGAAUUCGAUCGCGGUUUGGUUUGAUCCCGAGGAGGAGGAGGAGGCGAAUCGGAUGGUGUAGGGGGGGAGGGGAGGUAUUGUUGGGUGGGGAGAGCGGCGGCCAUGCAUCUGUCGCU